CCCUUAGAUGUUCUGGGCCGCACGCGCGCUACACUGAUGCAUUCAACGAGUUUUUCCUUGGCCGAGAGGCCUGGGCAAUCUUUUAAACGUGCAUCGUGAUAGGGAUAGAUUAUUGCAAUUAUUAAUCUUGAACGAGGAAUUCCUAGUAAACGCAGAUCAUCAAUCUGCAUUGAUUACGUCCCUGCCCUUUGUACACACCGCCCGUCGCACCUACCGAUUGAAUGGUCCGGUGAAGCCUCGGGGUUGUGGCGAGUUCCCUUUAUUGGGAGUUUGUCGCGAGAACUUGUCUAAACCUUAUCAUUUAGAGGAAGGUGAAGUCGUAACA
rnacentral:rRNA from 1 species